rnacentral:tRNA from 1 species
UCCCAGAUGGCUCUGUGGUAAAGAAUCUGCCUGUAAUGCAGGAGACCUGGGUUUGAUCCCUGGGUUGGGAA